CCUACGGGAGGCAGCAGUGGGGAAUAUUGGACAAUGGGCGAAAGCCUGAUCCAGCAAUGCCGCGUGAGUGAUGAAGGCCUUAGGGUUGUAAAGCUCUUUUUACCAGGGAUGAUAAUGACAGUACCUGGAGAAUAAGCUCCGGCUAACUCCGUGCCAGCAGCCGCGGUAAUACGGAGGGAGCUAGCGUUAUUCGGAAUUACUGGGCGUAAAGCGUACGUAGGCGGUUAUUCAAGUCAGAGGUGAAANCCCGGGGCUNAACCCCGGA
rnacentral:rRNA from 1 species